rnacentral:rRNA from 1 species
UAAUACUCCAUAGAUUAGAGACACUGGAAUGUUCUUUAGUCGAAAGUUCUGGCGCCUUAGGAUGGAUCUGCGGUCGAUUAGGUUGUUGUUGGGGUAACGGCCCAACAAGCCUGUAAUCGAUACGGGUUGUGGGAGCAAGAGCCCGGAGAUGGAAUCUGGGACACGAUUCCAGGCCCUACGGGGCGCAGCAGGCGCGAAAACUUUACAAUGCAGGAAACUGUGAUAAGGGAACUCCGAGUGCCCGUAUACGCGGGCUGUCCAGGUGUUUAAAAAUCAUCUGAAGAAAGGGCCGGGCAAGACCGGUACCAGCCGCCGCGGUAAUACCGGCGGCUCGAGUGGUGGCCACUAUUAUUGGGCUUAAAGCGUCCGUAGCUGGACCGAUAAGUCUCUUGGGAAAUCCGCCGGCUCAACCGGCGGGCGUCUAAGGGAUACUGUUAGUCUAGGGACCGGGAGAGGUGAAGGUACUCCGGGGGUAGGAGUGAAAUCCUGUAAUCCCCGGGGGACCACCGAUGGCGAAGGCAUCUCACCAGAACGGCUCCGACAGUGAAGGACGAAAGCUGGGGGAGCGAACCGGAUUAAAUACCCGGGUAGUCCCGGCCGUAAACUAUGCGCGUUAGGUGU